GAUGAACGCUGGCGGCGUGCCUAAUACAUGCAAGUCGAGCGAACGGACGAGAAGCUUGCUUUUCUGAUGUUAGCGGCGGACGGGUGAGUAACACGUGGAUAACCUACCUAUAAGACUGGGAUAACUUCGGGAAACCGGAGCUAAUAUCGGAUAAUAUUUUGAACCGCGUGGUUCAAAAGUGAAAGACGGUCUUGCUGUCACUUAUAGAUGGAUCCGCGCUGCAUUAGCUAGUUGGUAAGGUAACGGCUUACCAAGGCAACGAUGCAUAGCCGACCUGAAAGGGUGAUCGGCCACACUGGAUCUGAGACACGGUCCAGACUCCUACGGGAGGCAGCAGUAGGGAAUCUUCCGCAAUGGGCGAAAGCCUGACGGAGCAACGCCGCGUGAGUGAUGAAGGUCUUCGGAUCGUAAAACUCUGUUAUUAGGGAAGAACAUAUGUGUAAGUAACUGUGCACAUCUUGACGGUACCUAAUCAGAAAGCCACGGCUAACUACGUG
rnacentral:rRNA from 1 species